rnacentral:siRNA from 1 species
UCCACCAUUGAUAACUGU